UACGGGGGGAGCAAGCGUUGUUCGGAUUUACUGGGCGUAAAGGGCGCGUAGGCGGCCACCGCAAGUCGACUGUGAAAUCUCCGGGCUUAACCCGGAAAGGUCAGCCGAUACUGCGGGGCUAGAGUGCAGAAGGGGCAACUGGAAUUCUCGGCGUAGCGGUGAAAUGCGUAGAUAUCGAGAGGAACACCUGCGGCGAAGGCGGGUUGCUGGGCUGUAACUGACGCUGAGGCGCGAAAGCGUGGGGAGCAAACAGG
rnacentral:rRNA from 1 species